rnacentral:tRNA from 1 species
GGGGUUGUGGCUCAGUAGUAGAGUGCACGCCUAGUACGCAUGAGGCACUGGGUUCGAUCCUCAGCAACACAC